rnacentral:tRNA from 1 species
GACUUUUUAGUUUAAUUAAAAUAUGGGUUUUGUAAACCUAAGAUAAUGAGUAUUAUUAGUCA